GUUCAGUCAUAUUUUGUAAAACUGUUAAUAAUAUUGCUAUGAAUUUGCCUUUGUAGUGUGAUGAAUGCUGGUUAUAUGAAGGCAUUGUUUUUAUUCUAAGCAUUGAAAGUGUUAGAGACUUGAAGUUGAAAUAUUUUCUGAAACAUUAUGGAUUAUGACCUCUGUAAUUAAAUUAACACACAAUUAUGCAUAUUGGUUAUGUCAUAAAUUAUUCUUUGACUUUCUUAUUUCAGAGAGAUUACUGUGUGUCUUGAAACAGUGAAUGCCCCAAAACAACUAGUAUGAUAAGAAGGCCAGAAUAUACAGCUUCCCAAAAUGUUGAAAGACUAAGCUGUUUUUUCUAAGGACUUGUAUACUAUCUAGGUUGAAAUUAGCCAUGGACAAUGAAUUUGGAGGUGCAUGCUGGAGCAUCAGAAAUGACAGACUUGGAAUAGAUAUUUGCAUAAUAUACAAGUAACAUUUACUGAAAAAUGACUAAUGUUUAUGUUAAUAAAGUGCAAUAUCCAUGCUUGUAACAUUUACAUGGGGGUAAUAGUUACAGUGUUGAAAGAGACUGCCAGUGUUACAUUUCAAUCUAAGUUACAGGGUGGAUGCUAAUUCUAAAUUCUUGAUAGUCAAGUGUUUUUAGUAACUUAUGGAUACUAAUUAUUUAUCAAACUGUUUAAUUUAUCACAUUCCUACAUCAUUAUUUUACAUAAAAUGUUUGUGGUUAUAUAAUAUAUGUUUAUAUGGUAAUAAAUUUUGUUU
rnacentral:lncRNA from 1 species